UCUGUCCUGAAGAAUGUUCUGUGUGUGCUUGAGAGAGAUAUAUAUUCUGCUGUUAUUGGUUGGAAUGUUCUGUAUACGUCUGUCACGUCCAGUUUGUUCACAGUGUUAUUCAAGUCCUCUGUCUCCUUGUUGAUCUUCUGUCUGGUUGUUCUCACCAUAACCUUUUGACUCUCAGAGUUUGUCUCAAACUCUCUUUCCCAGGCUGCUUGCCCAGGUCCCUGUCCUACACCUCCUCUUAGAUGAUUCACUGGCUCCUCAAACUCAACAUGUCUAAAAAAUACAUCUCUUCCCCCUCCUAAAUAUCUCUACCUUAUGGCUCUGCUUUCUUUGCUGGUGGACCCCCACUCCACUCAGAGUCCUGAGAGUCACUCACUCCCUGCUUUUUCUUGUUCUCCUCAUCAACUGGGUGGCCAUGGUCUGUUGAUAGACAUCUCUCCUGUCCUACUGCCAGCCUGACUCAGUCAUCCGUUGUCUCCCACCUAGUCUUUUUGGGCUUCAUUCUUAACUUCCUGCAUUCCUAUAUACCACCACCAGCCUAUCCUUCUCAGUCCUGCAUUUACAGUCUUAUUCUCCAGCUGACUCACAGUGGGCCUUGUCUAACGCUAGUCUCUCUCCUUGGACUGUGCUUUCCCUGGAUUUCAUCCCUGCAGCUCUGCCCACCUUCAGUCCAUCCCAAAUGCUGAUUUCCUUUUCCCUUUCUCCCUUUCAUCCUUCUUUUAUUAUUAUAUUGAAUACAAGUUGAGCAAGACAGACAUGGUAUAUGCCCUUAAGGAGCUUCCAUUCUUCUGGAGAGGAUGGACAGUUAAAUAUGCCUUGCCAUAAAGCCGGCAAACAUGUGGGAAAGCCAUGGCCUCACCUGACCAAAGCAGCUUAGUCAUUCUCGGCUGGUGGGAAAGCUUUCCUGAGGCUAUCUCAUACAAGGAGAUGAGGAAAGAGUACCCGCAGAUGAGGGAUUAGCAUAUGCAAAGAGCAUGCUUGUAUGCCAUCCAUGAUCCCUAACUGGUUGUAUAUUUGUGUUUCUAAUUGCUUUACUUAUAUUAACGCAUUCUGUCCUUAUAACAACACUAUGUCAUGUUCUGUUUCUGUCUUUAUUUUAAAGAUGAAGAAAUAAGGGCGCAUGGAUAUUUUGCAAUUUGUCCAAAGUCAUAUAGCCAAUAAAUGAUGGAACUGAGUUUGAAACUAGGCAGGUUGGCUCUAGAACUUGUGCUUUUGACUGCUACAUUAUAUAUAUAUAUAUCCCCUCUCCUCUUGCCCCAAGCAGCACAUAAAAAUCCCCCAUCCCCACUAGUGCUUGUGGAUGUGGUUGCCCUGCCGUCUCAUUUCCUUAUUUCUGAUAAGUUUCCACAUUUAUCAGAUUGGCUUAUUUCCCAUUUUUGGGCUGCCCUAGAUGCUGCUGAUGCUGAGUGAUCCUUUUUUCCAAAAAUCUUACAGUUCUUAGGGAGGAUUUUGAAUAUUUAGCAGCAGAAAUGGCUGUAAAAAAAAAAAACCCCAAAACACCAGCGGGUAUCUAGAAUGCUUUCAGUCUCAGUGAUAGAGUAUUGAUUGAAGAAUAUCAUCAAGGACCUGGGUUUGCUCUAUGUGCUCUGUCUUCCUCAGCAUGUGGCCUUUUAAUCUUUUGCUGUUGCCUUAUGAUCAUAAAGUAGCUGCUAGAGUGCCAGGCAUCACAACUGCAUUCAUGGUAGGAAAAAAGAUGGGUCUUACCUUUUUAUCCAGAAUAAAAUUUUUCCCACGUGUGCUCCAGUAUAUUUUCCCCUAUAUCUCAUAGUAAGAACUAGGUAGGAGUGCCAGAUAAGAUACUGGAUACCUAGUUAAAUUUUAAUUUGAGGUAAACAACACAAAAUUUUUUUAGUGUAAUUAUGUUUCAUGGAAUAUUUGGGACAUACUUAUACUAAAGUCAUGUGUUGCUUACCUGGAAUUCAAAUUUAACUGGGUGUCCCCCAUUUUUAUUUGCUAAAUCUGGGAACCCUAGAACUGCAUCUACUUGCAAGGGGGGCUGGGAAGUAGAAUAUCUGGCUUUCUGCCUUUUGCUAAUGCAAGAUGGGCAAGAGAGAAAAAUUGGAAAGCUUUUAGAUCAUUAGCUCCCCAAGGUGGAGUCAUUUUGAUUGUGUUUGCUCUACUUCAGAGAAUAUGUUUGUAUGAUGUCAGAAAAUUUAUGAAGUUCAAAGCAGAGUCCAACUAUAUUUUUAUCUUAGAGUUUUUUACUUUUUUGUAGGGAAGGCAUGGAUGGUCAGGAAUAAAAUAUCUGUUAUGGACAGGAUAUAUGUUCUUAUUUUGGUUUACUUUUUCGUAUCCCUCCUUGUUCCACAGAAGGAAUUGAGGUGGCUACAACAACACAAAAGGCAAACAUAACUGCUUAGGGGAGCUUGAACAUGAGUUAAACAAAAACAAAAGGCCCACAGUUGUGCAUAUCUUAUUGCCUCACACAGGUACUGGAAGUGGGCUACAAAUUUGACUCUCUCCCAGUCCUCUCAAGGAUUGAAACAUGAUUUAGUUUCCGUAAAAUUGCAAGCCAGCCUCGUUCUCAAGAAAGGCACAACUCUUCCUACCCAGAGGCCCGAGGAGCUUUUCCUGAGCAUCCUCAGUGAGAUCCCUGCAAGUGCUGUGGGCCUGGAUUUGUCAGCUGCUGCUCCAGGGUUCCGUGAUGCAAGCUGAUGAUUAAUACUGAAGUGAAAUUCUGUGGGGCCGACACAACGCAGUCCAAUCAUAUAGCUCUGGGACGCUGGAUUUAAGGCAAGAGUAGAAUUUAGAAAAUCUGGAAAACAUAGGACUGCAGAACUGAUAUGCCUAAAUAAUGUCCUGAAAGCUGGACGUUUUAUACAAGAUUCCAUGACAGGGAACUUAAGGUCAGAUCCUUCGGCAAAGACCUGGACGUCAAAUUGCCCCAGUGGUUGAGGUUCAAGUGCUUUAAGAGCCAGCCAGGUGGAGGGGCUGAGGUCUUCACAGGAAAACGCAAGAGUCCAUUGUACAAAAGGCAGAGCUUCGUUCUGAGGUAGCUGCAACAAAUGUAAAAUGGAGCAUUCCACACCCCUCCUUAAAAUCCCCAAGGACCCUUCUUCCCCUUGGUAUGAAAUCCAAGUCCUUCUCAUGGUCUACAAGACCCAAGACCCUGCGUGGUCUGGUCCCUCCUCACCUCUCCUACCUCAUCUUGUGCCUCUCUCCUCUUCCCAUGACACUCCUCUAGCCCUGCCUUCUUUCUUUUCCUUAACCUACCAAACUCUGCCUCUGCUGGCCUUUGCGCUUGCUGUUCCCUUUUCUGACUCAACUUUACCCCUUAAAGCUUUAAGCAUCACCUCCCCAGAAGGACUUUUCCCCAUCACCUUGUGUAAACUUUCCUGGUGGUUGUAACUUGGCAUCCUGUUUGUUGCUUUUGUGGUCCUUGCCUGAACUUGUCAUCAUUUUUAUCCAUUCCACAAGUAUUUUUCAAGCACUGAGAGACAGUGAAGCAAACAAACAAAUAAACCAAAAUAAUUACAGUGCUAAUUAAGUGCUCUGAUGACUCAAGGUAGUCAUAGUGUGGAAGAUGGUGUAAUCCUACCUGUACCAAGACAUUUGAUUUAUAGCUACUCUAGGAAAACAUCCUUGGGAUUCGGAUGUGGGGGACUCAUGCUAUCAUGACACAUGUUGGGCUCUUGCUUAAAUUUUGUCAGCUUGAGGAUCAGCACGAGAGAGGGAAAAAGAUGCCUCCAGUACCAACAACUCUUGAAAUAAUGCAGGCACUGUUUAAGUGAGGCAUCUCUCAAGGCCGGAUCACCGAUACCUGUUGGACCCCUGGAGGGUAAGACAGAUGUCAGGGAAUAAGAUCCAAGAUCUUGCUGAGCUCAGUGCUGGGAAAAUCAUCUUGCUCUGUCUUGAGAUAGAAUUUGCUAAACUCUGUGAUUAAGUGAGUAAUAAAGAGACCUGGGAGAGUUCUGGGAACUCAGGUAAGGCACAUUGUUCUGGUUUUACCCAUUGUUCUGGUUGUUUCCAAGUUGUGGAUGAGUUUUAGUGCUGGUUGUCUGAAGACUGAGGGGGCAUUGUGGCUUCCAGAGGGCAGAGGGGAGAGAAUUCAGAGACAUAAGGAGACGGGCCCCCUUAAGGAAGAGGUAGGGGUGGGCCUUGAGGAGUAGGAAUCAGGGAUGGGCCUUAGGAAUACCCUGGUGAAAUCAUGCUAAAAGGAACAUUACAGGAAACCAUGUAUAGGAAAAGGGCAGCUUUCUCCUUGGUGCUGGUGAUGAAGUGUGGUAGGUUGCAAAGAAUGGCUAUGAAGUCUUCUAGAGUCUCUCUCCACUCUUUGAAUUGAGAGUGGUCAUAUGAUUUGCUUUGACCAAUGGGACAAUAAGAAACAAGACCUGAGCAGCAACCUGACAGGUGCUUGUGCCCUGGAUUCACCUUCUCCUGCUGCUCUCAGAAACCAUGUGGCGACCAUGAUGUGAGUAAGCCUGGCCUCGUCUGUUGGAUGAGAAGACCACGUGGAGCAGAGGUGGGCUGUCCCAGAUGAGAUGAGGCAAGAGAUGAGGCCCUCCCUAGACCCAGACCCCAGCCAACUCAGCAGCUGACCGCAGAUGUACAAGUGAGCCCAGAUGAGAUCAGCCAAGCCAGCCCAGACUAGAAGAACUGCUCAGCCAACUCGCAGAAUCAUGAGCUCACUGAAUGGUUGCUUUAAGCUACUAUGUUUGGGGAUGGUUUAUUACCCCUCUGUAGCUAACCAAUACUGUUACCAGCUCUUAGAUAAAUAUCAACCCUGAUACUGGUUCCCCUACAGUGAACCCAGCAUAUAUGGGUUAAAACUAAAAGUGCUCAUUUCCAGUUCCCUGGUUCUUUAGUUACCCUCAUAUACUCCUUAUACUGCUUAACUCCUUAUAUUCCUUAAACUCCUCAAACUCUGACUCCCUGAGCUUUACAACCAAAUAGAAGUUACAAGUUGUUAAAGUCCAGAUGGCUUCAUGCUGAGUUCCCACUAAAGUUGUGGCUAAUCACAGGACCUUGAAGUUCUUUUACAGAGAAACUAAUGUCCAGAGACUAUCAAGAGACCAAAGCUUCCCAGACCCAACUCCACGACUUCCUGACGUCAGUCUACCUUCCAUCAUGGAGACAAACAGCCAAGGACACUUGUCUGAGAAAUCCUUUGUCUCCUCCACUAUAAGCAGCCGCAAACACAGGCUGAUGGGAAAAUGCUGACCAAGAAGGCCACAGCCCCCCUCCCCUACCUAAAGCCCCACAUAAAAACCUCUACCCAUUUCUUAACGGGGAGCUUGCAAUUUUUGAGGUACUAGCCCUUGCUUUGCUCCCUCUGCCUGGCAAAGUAAAGCCUUUCCUUUUCCACCCAAGACUCUGUUCUCAUUAUUUGGAUUGGCAUUGGGAUCAGAGACCAAACUUUGGGUAACAAUGCAGGUUCCGGGUGUGGGUUGGGAGGAAGAAGGCAAUUAUUGGGUGAUUGGUUCCUUCAUUAAUGCUUUGUGCCAAGCUGUGUGCUAGGAAUAAAGAUUUAACAGUGGACAUGGCAGACAUGGUCUCUGAGCUCACAGAGCACCAUCUAGCAGUGGCCCCAGAUAGAGAGCCUGGCUAUUUCAGUGUCUUGUGGCAAGUCCAGAAGGGUGCUAUAGGAGGUGCUGGGAAAGAGAGAGGUGAGUAUGCUGAGACCUGAGGAUGUUCCAGGUGAGUGGGACCCGGAGGGGGGGUGGUGAAAGAGGGAAGGAAGUUUCUGACUGUAAUACAGUAUGGAAUGAUUGAGAAGCGGAGAUGAGUCCCACUUGGCUGGAGCAAUGUGCUUCCGAGGGGCACAGAUUUCCUCUUGGGAGUCACAAAGUCUUCCCAGGAGUUUUACAAGGAUACUUUUUCAAUUUUUUUAUUGAGGUCUUAUUGGUUUAUAACGUGUAACUUCAGGUUACAUAUACAUGAUAUACAUUAUUCUAUAUCAGUUUCUGUAUAGACUGCAUCUUGCUCACACCCAAUAGUCUAGUUUUUAUCUGUCACCAUACACCUGUGCCCCUUUACCCCUUUCACCCUUCCUCCACCCCCUUCCUCCCUGGUAACCACUAAUCUGUUCUCCUUAUCCACGUCUCACAAGGAUGCUUUUAAGGGAUCCCUUCCCAGCGGAGGUGGUGUUUCCCCCAAGGGUUCAAAAAUUGGGUCUUGGGGGGUGGUUUGUAGCCCUCCAAAGGGCAGCACUACAUAAACAGAUAGACCAUAUAUCUAUGGUAUUAAAACUUAAUAGAGGGGGUGAUUAGGAAGGAAAAAGUCUGAAAGUCUUCAUGGUGGGGAGAUAAUGAAAAAGAAACUGUUUGAAGGGCAUCCAUUUCCAGAUCCUCACCUCGUGUGAUCCACUCCCUUUCCCCAUUGCCCUUCUCCCACUUCACAGAACAUAAUUCUCGCUCAUCCCAAAUCUUCACUGGUGUUUUGCCCUGGGAAUUAAAAUCUGGGUUGGGAUACAAUUAGAAAUACUGAGGUGGGCAUUGAGAAAGUGAAUAAUAAUAAUGACCAAGGAUCAAAUUCUUUUUUAGGUUUGAGAAGAAGUCUUUGCUUUCAACAAAAUUGAAGGGGAAUAUGAUAGCGUUGUCAGCUUGAUUAAAAUUUUUUUAGAAGAAUAGACACUAUGUUAUUUUUGGCAUAUAACUCUAAAGGUGUUCAAAGAAGUGUGUAGCAUUGCUAUAGAAAACCGCUUACAAUCCUCCUCUAUUUAUUUUUGUGAAAGGUCUCUCCAUGCCUAUAUCUACAAAAAGGAAAAAUGGAAAUUGAAUUGAGACUGAACACUGUCUCCUAGAAAUAAGCUAUAGUCAUCUUGGGAUAUAUAAAGUCAUUGAAUAAAUAAGUAAAACCUGCUCUACCCAUCUCAUUAAAAGAUACAUUUCCAAUAAAAUUUUCUUUUAUGUUUAAUAACUAUCAACAUUUGUAGUAUAGUUGGGUUAUAUUGAUCAAUUGUCUAUUAAUAAUAAUUGUAAUGAUAAUUCAAUCCAGAAGGGAAUAAAAUGAGCAUUUAGACCCAACAGUCACAUAAAAUGUAUUAAAGUAUUAAUUUCUCUCUCUGUAUAUAUACGUAUAAAAAAUAUAUAUGCUAUGUGCUGUGUAUAAUAUAGAUAUGAUUUUGUUUGGGAGGGUAUGAUAGGGUGAUCAAUAAAAACCUUUUGAGCUUAAAAAAAUCUAGGGUAGGAGGUUAACUAGAAUGAAAAUACAAGUUCAUGGAGUAACAGGAGCCACGUAAAAUUUCCAACUUCUGGAGAUGAGCUUGUUUGUGUAUUUUUAAAACAGAUAUUGGGUAGAUAAAAAAAGUCAUGAUGGUAUUUGCAUUCCACUGUAUACCUUUAAAAGAAUUACAUGAUGGUUUUAACUUAAAACUACAACAUUUAUAAUAUACUGGAAAUUACGUUCUUUGCAAUUAUAACACACACAAGUAUAUCCUUUAAAAAUUUAUACAAAAGUGCUCAUGCCCUACACACUAUACUUUGCCUUGCUUUUUUCACUUAAUAAAACACUUAUGUUUUCAUUUAAUAAAAAAUUAGUGGUGUUUCCGUAUGAGUACGCAUGGAUCAACCUCAUUUUCAUCAACUACAUAGUAUUUCUUGGUUUAGAUCUAGUGGAAUAUAUUUAACUGUUCAUGGUCAUUUUAGUAAUUUCUAGUUUUUUGCUUAUGUACAAUGCUGCAACGGAUAUCUUUGAACAACUGUUAUGGAAAGUUUUUGUGCAUUUAUUUGAAGGGUGAAUUUUUAGCAAUGGGAUUGCCAGAUCAGAGGUAGUGUGCAUUUCACAUUUUGAAAAAUGCUCCCCCAAUUUUCUCCCAAUAGGCUGUACUUUCCACCAGUGGGAUUUGAAAGGAUCAGUUUUUCACAUCUCUCUCAGCCCAGGAAAAAAUAUAAGAUGCCCAAUUGGUCUAAGUUUUUGCUCUGUUGGAAAGUUAAUUUCUUGUAAGAAGAGGACAGAAACUCAACUCCAACUGGCUUAAGAAAGAAAGAAAAAGAUCAUCUGGGGGCACAAUAUAGAUAUCACCAAUCUCGUUCUCCCUCUGGGCUCUAUUUUCUUUUGCAUGGCUCCAUUCUCUUCUGGCUCAUCCUUCAUGGUGGCAAAGAUGGCCGCAGGCAGCUCCACGUCUAUAGCCUUCCCCUCAGCAACCCCAGAGAAAGGCCACUUCUCAUUCCCUAAAAUCUCCAGAGAAAUUCCUGGAACUGCAUGUUAAUGGCCUGACUUGGAUCAUAUGCCCAUCGUUGAACAGUCAGGAUGGCCUGGGAGAUGAAAUGUCUGAUUGGAUGAACCUAGGUCAAUGCCAAAUCCUUUCAGGGAUGAGGACGAUAAAGUUAGAGGAGCUGAAUGGUGAGCGGAAGUGUGUCAGCCCUACCCAGGUUAUGUGAACAGAGAGUGGAAGACCUCUGGUUUCCCCAAGGAAAAUCAAGAUGCUGUUACGCAAGGAAGGAGGGAUCUCAAGCAGACACGAAUGCCAAAUAUCCAAUAUGGUGACAGAGCAGGAGAGAGGGCAAGUGUGAGAGAAAGAUUGUCAGGGAAGCCAACCACCGAUGCAGAGGUAAAAGAGAUUUUUGUAAUUUUAAGAAAAGUGACUUUUUUCAGCAAUUGAGAAAGAAUUAUUACACUAAUGUUCAUAGCAGCAUUAUUCACAAUAGUCAAAAAUGGAAAUAACCUAAGUGUCCAUCACCAAAUGAAUGGGUAAAUAAAAUGUGGGUAUGUAUA